rnacentral:rRNA from 1 species
UACGUAGGUGGCAAGCGUUGUCCGGAUUUACUGGGCGUAAAGGGCGCGUAGGCGGUCUUGCAAGUCCUGUGUGAAAUCCCUCGGCUCAACUGAGGAACUGCACAGGAAACUGCUUGGCUUGAGUUCGGGAGAGGGAAGCGGAAUUCCGGGUGUAGCGGUGAAAUGCGUAGAUAUCUGGAGGAAUACCGGUGGCGAAGGCGGCAUCCUGGACCGACAUUGACGCUGAUGAGCGAAAGCUAGGGGAGCAAACGGG